rnacentral:rRNA from 1 species
CCUUCGGGUGGCAGCAGUGGGGAAUAUUGCUCAAUGGGGGAAACCCUGAACCAGCAACGCCGCGUGAGGGAUGAAGGUUUUCGGAUUUGUAACUCUUUUUUUUAAAGAGGUAAAUGCCGGUAUCUAACGAAGAAGGACCGGCGAACUCUGUGCAGGCAGCCCUGGUAAGACGGAGGUGGCAGGGGUUAUACGGAAUAAAUGGGCGGAAAGAGCGCGUAGGCGGGAUAGAAAGUCAGAUGUGAAAUCCUAUGGCUUAACCAUAAAUCUGCAGUUGAAACUGGUAUUCUAGAGUAUGCGAGAGGUAGGUGGAAUUCUUGGUGUAGGGGUAAAAUCCGUAGAGAUCAAGAGGAAUACUCAUUGCGAAGGCGACCUGCUAGAACCUAACUGACGCUGAUGCGCGAAAGCGUGGGGAGCAAACAGGAUUAGAUACCCCUGUAGUC